rnacentral:Y_RNA from 1 species
GGCUGGUCCGAGUGCAGUGGUGUUUACAACUAAUUGAUCACAACCAGUUACAGAUUUCUUUGUUCCUGCUCCACUCCCACUGCUUCACUUGACCAGCCUUUA